CGAUCCUUAGUGUUUGGUGAUCGAUUAUUAAUGGGGUUUUAUAUCCACGUGUCAGCGUCCUAGAUGAAGUUUUUUUUUCUUCUCUCACUUCCUCGCUCUGUCUUCUCUUGUUCUCCGUUGGAAGGAAAAGGGCGAAACCCAUCGAAAGCACCACCGUUCCUCCACACAGAUCACCACCGAUCCUUCUUCCAUGACUUUCUCCAGAGAUUCAGGCGGAACGUGGUGUCUAGGGCGGCUGAGCUGAAGCAAGUGAAAGGCUGUUUAGUUUCUCAAGAACAAUUCUUUGUUAACAAAAUCCUUUCUAGAAAAAGUGGAGAAUUGGGAGCACUGGGCGUGAUGAAGUCAUAAAUCACGGAGCAUCCGUGUGUUGUGUUGUCUUGUGCUGUAUCUUGUAGUGAAGUCAUAAAUCAUUUCUUGUCACAUGUUUUGUAUUCUUGUAGAAGUGGUCUUGUGGUCUAGUUUUAUUGUGUCACGGAAGUGGAAUAACGAUUGAUUCAUUGCAAUGUUGAUUUUAACAAGUUAUUUUUUUUGUUUU